CUUCCCUCUCCCUUCUUCCUCACCACCAAUAGUCGACGUGCUGUCACAACUAUGUCUAAUCAUCUAAAAAUGCCCUUUCCUUUCAAAUUCCCCUAUUUUCUUCUCCACGGAGGUUUGUGUUUGUUUUGCCAUUGGAAAUUGGCACCGCCAACUAUGACCUAUGACCGCCACCAUCUCUAGUGAACCCCCCUCCUCCCCUUAUUUCCUUUUUGGCUAAGGUGGCUGCCACCAAGGCAGUUGAGAUGGUGCCCUUGAAGAGAAAAUGGGUAGUUCAAAGCAUGCAUUUUUAAAAUUUUUACCAUAAAAAUAGUAGAUUAAAUAAUUUAAUCUCCUACGCAUGCUUUAGAUCUGAUCUAAACUAUCUUUCUAAGGAUCUAUGAUAUAAAAAUUUUACAUAUAGAAUCUGAUGUAAAUAAAAACUGCAUCGAUCACAUCGAUGUCCUGAAUCAGAUCUAACCUUUAGAUCUCAUUGAUUGAGUUUGGAACUCAUUAUCUUAUCAUGGAUUAAUGAUCUGUACUAUUGAUAGAUAUGGUAUGAGGCUUUUUUUGAUGUUGAGCAGUCACACAGAUCAUCCGAUCUCUACAGAUCAUCCACUCGAAGCCCUGAUCAGAUCAUCCUUCCCGGGAGUGCUAGCUUGCAUCGAAGGCUCUGGAUGGCUGAUUCAAGCUCCUUUCUUCGGAUCAUGCGGACUCUUCCAGAUUAGAAGAUGAAGCUUUAUGAGGAGGUGGUGGUGAAGGAGAUUGAAAUAAGACUCUUUUGUAUUUUUUCUCACACAAAAGACUAGAGCCAAAACCCUAGACCCACCCUAGACCUCAUGCCCA
rnacentral:lncRNA from 1 species